rnacentral:lncRNA from 1 species
GAAUUUCAACUUAUUUACAAAUUUGCCACAGGCUCUAUCUGCCGCUGAUCUGCACACGCGUUGAUGAUCGCGGGAAGGGAAUAACAAUGGUAAAGCAGGCCUUUUCCGUUUCCUUCUCAAGCCCUCCUUGCCUUCUCCGUGUCGCGCACCUCGCCUUCUCUCCGUCGCACUCCUUACCAGAACUCCAAUCAAUGGUGAGGUGCAUGUCGUUGUGUAACCCAUCUUCAGCUCUGUCUCUUUCACUCUUGAGGUACCUGCUGUUAGAUUCCAUGUGCUGUCGCCGAUCUACAGGUAAAGCUUCAAUUUCCAUAUUGUCAUUUCUGGAAUUUGGGUUUUUAUUUCAGUAAUUUAAUUGUGACUGUCAGUUUGUGCAUGCGAUUGAGAGAGAGAGAGAGAAAGCAAGGGAACUAGCGAUGGAGCGAGAGAAAGAGAGAGUGAGUUUGGGAUUGAGAGUGAUUCUGGAGUCGUAUAUGAACGAACACGUUC